rnacentral:rRNA from 1 species
AUUGAACGCUGGCGGCAGGCCUAACACAUGCAAGUCGAACGGCAGCACGGGUGCUUGCACCUGGUGGCGAGUGGCGAACGGGUGAGUAAUAUAUCGGAACGUACCCUAGAGUGGGGGAUAACGCAGCGAAAGUUGCGCUAAUACCGCACACGAUCUACGGAUGAAAGUGGGGGAUCGCAAGACCUCAUGCUCAUGGAGCG